CAGCAGCCGCGGUAAUACCGGCGGCUCGAGUGGUGGCCACUUUUAUUGGGUCUAAAGCGUCCGUAGCCGGCUUGGCAAGUCCCCUGGGAAAUCUGGCGGCUUAACCGUCAGGCGUCCAGAGGAUACUGCCAGGCUUGGGACCGGGAGAGGUGAGAGGUACCUCAGGGGUAGGGGUGAAAUCUUGUGAUCCCUGAGGGACCACCAGUGGCGAAGGCGUCUCACUAGAACGGGUCCGACGGUCAGGGACGAAAGCUGGGGGCACGAACCGGAUUAGAUACCCGGGUAGUCCCAGCCGUAAACGAUGCUCGCUAGGUGUCAGGCAUGGCAUGACUGUGCCUGGUGCCGAAGGGAAGCCGUGAAGCGAGCCACCUGGGAAGUACGGCCGCAAGGCUGAAACUUAAAGGAAUUGGCGGG
rnacentral:rRNA from 1 species